rnacentral:tRNA from 1 species
UGCGGAAGCUGUUGUGGCGAACGACUCAUAUUCGUGAGGUCGCGGGAUCGAGUCCCGCCUCCGCUACCA